rnacentral:misc_RNA from 1 species
AAUAGAAUCAACAUUACAUAAAUUCAAACCAUUAGCAAAGCAAAUUGGAAGCAAAGCUGACAUAACAAGCAAAGACAACUUAAAAAAGAAAACAAUGACAGACAAAAGAGGGCAAGUUUUAUUGGUUUUAAACGCACGCCCAAAAAGCUCCCAUGAGUGUCUACUUUUGAGUAAUAGACCACUGAUUUGAGAUCAUUCAAUUCAAGUGGAUUCAAACGCAGUGCUUUGUGCAGAAGCACCGGCGGCGGAAGCCCCUGCAAUGGCCGCCGUGGAAGCCUUCCGUUUUGCAGACAUGGCCACAGUUGUUCUUACUGAAGCACAGCCCCUUGAAGUGUCGGCUCGGAGAUUCACAUGUCCUUGCGUCUGUCACCAUGGGCCCCAUCCCAGUGGCAAGAAGCAGGAGGAGCAACAAAAUUGCAGCGGAAAAGAACUUC